AAUUAAAAAGAAACAAUAAUGUAACUUUUGCAGCAAAAAUGUAACAUUUCAGGAAACGAAAUGUAACUUACGACUCAGUGGCCCUGGCAACACUGCCCUGUUCUCCGCUUACGGACAUCCAUAAAGGACACAUAGGGACAAAACGGGUGCAUUGUAUAUGUCCAUGCUUUAUUAUUUUUUUAUAAUUCUUCGUUAUUUUCACUGUAUUAGUUGAAUCAUCGUCAUUAUUUUUCAGUAAUAUGAUUUUCUUUUUUUGCAUAAUUUUUGUAACUUGUACACCUACCUGUAACUCUGAUAGGUAAAUGUUAGUUUCAAUGCAUUGGUUAUUUAUUUUCUUAUAUUUCUUUGUUUAUUUUCUGUGUUUUUACUUUUGUUUUAUUUUGCGCUUGUUGGCGGCACAACAGUUAUUUGAAGGUCCCAUAAUUAUUUAAAAAUUGGCAUUCUUAUUUAUUUUAACAUACAUUAUACAAAAUGUGAAGACAAGACAGGUAAAGCGCUAGCUGGAGGGACAGAACCACCACUUUUUCCAAAAAAAAUUUACUCUUUUGAAUGAUACUGUUUUGUGUAGCCCUGAACUGAGCUUAUAAUAGACAACAACACAGAAGAAACACUAUUGUUCUUUCACGGCACUACAUAGAGCUAUACGAUACCAUGACACCCGUUCAGAUAAACUUUAUCAAUUCUAACUAGGGAGGUCAUUAUAAACGUAUUAAUUGUUCAGGACUUUAGUGAUGCCUCGGUCAGUGGUAGUAUAGACUAUGGUAUGUGAUUCGUAUUAUUAUAGUGUAAAUCCGCAAGUGUUCGAGCUGUACAACUACAGUAAUAACGUUAUGUCGCCAACUCGCGUCUCCCAGAGUUUGUGUUCACCAGCACCCGGCCCCUUUAACUGGAACCCGUAGAUCCGAACUUGUGCGCGUUAUGUCGUUGGGCGCGCGCGGCCGGCGGUCGCAGCCGACUGCGACUCGUUGUCUACAGUGUGCUGCAGCACGCCACAUUAUUACAAUACUUACAAUAGAUGUAACUAUCACAUGUCCUGAGAUAUAAUGGCGGCAGAUUUUUACGAGCGAUGGUCAUAGUUGAGUAGCAAUAACUGGUUACGGUUACAUCAACACUUGGCAUACAGCGAUGUGCCGUUAUGUCCGUCCGAGUAUCCCAGGGCAUCGCGAAAUGUAUUAAAUGUUGCGCAGACUCUCGACAAUGAGCCGCAGCGCCGCCGCCGGUCGCAAGCGCGCGCCCUCACAAGUUUGGUGAUACGCGGGCGCAGUUUUAGAGGGAAUUCGUCGCCACUACGUUAUCCUUUAUUUUCUUUUGUUACCUUCCCUUUUAUGUCACGUAUCGAUCUGUUAUUGUUUUACUCUUACCCCUCGACUCGACAACGAUAGACUCUCGUCUCGUAGUUUACUCAAACUUUAUUCAUGUGGCGGUUGUUUUUAAUAAAUUGCUUGCAGAAAGUAGCUGUUGGAGACUUUUACCUUUCAAUCCGCAUUAAUUGCACAGAACAUAAUUUAAAUAGUUUCCGCUAAUUAAUGUUCCGUACUUUCUUCUAACAGAGAGAAAGACACGAAACACUGAUUAGUAUGACCGAUAUAAAUGUAUGAGUGAGGGGCUAGUGUUAUUUUGUGUUUUACUUAAUACUAUGUUUCUUUGAAUGUUUAGUUUGCUUUAUAUGAUUUGUAAGUUUCCUGCUUUGUAUUAAAAUGUUAAGGCACGAGUCAUUUUGUUUUAUGUAACUUUAUUUUUAUGUUUCAAUAUAAAUAUUCUUAAGUUGUUUACAUUGUAAAAUUUAUUAGUAAAUCUAAUAAUACAUUGGAUAUGUAUUAAGGACUUUCUUUACGUCACUCGCUCGUCUAAACGUACAUACCUAUUAUGUCGCAGCACCGCACUGUCACACUUUUAAUAUUUAUGCUGUAAUUAAUACGAGGCCGCUCGUGAUUAACUUCACACCGAUCGUACAGCUCGGCAACAAUAUAGACCAUUAGAGACGCUUUUUUUAUCUUUUAAAAAUAAAAAUACACAAGUUAUUCACCCCUGUCAGAUAUUGGAUUAUUACUAUAUUUUAUUUUUAAUACUUGAUGUUUAAAAUCGAGGUUAUGCGAUAGGCUUUAGCGAACGUUAGGCAAGAAAAAAGAAGCCAAGUUCAGAAGUAGAAGAGAAGAGAAGAGAGAGUGCCGUCGGUGCGGUGAGGUAGUAGGUUGUAUAGUACUGCAUUACAACAUUUGGGAGGGACUGUAUAGCCUGCUAACUUUCCGGACCGCCGGCCGCGCAACGAUCCGCCGCAACACAACACGCCACAACGGGACAAUACUGCUCUGCACAUUCUAUAUAAUAACUACCAUUACAAUUACACAGUAUGUAAUCUGUUAUGUUAGCCGUAUGACUAUUUAGUUUUAUCAGUUUACAGUCUUACUAUGGAAAUUAGAGAAAAGUCGUUGAGAACUUCUAUGAGGUCCAGAAGUCAUCCGAGUCUAAUCCACCUUAAGUCGCAGCGUAAACGGUUGGUGAAGUCUAACUCAACAGUGCACACUGUUUGGCUCCUAACCAUAAUAUAGGAGGUAUUUAAUAGGCUUCUCUGUAACAAAUGACUAAUGCCAUUUCUUGUUUAUGUUCCAGUUUAGAUUCGACAACGUGACGAGCUUCUGCAUAUUGGAGGUGACUCCAACUGUUGGAGGACCCCACCUAGCGGUUUGACGCUGUGAACAAAAAAUGACGCAAUUCGUCAAAAUUGCAGUCGGAUAAAGCCUGCCAUAAUUACCAUUAUACAAUUUUAAGAGAUAAAAAAAUAUAUGUAGUGUUCUCCUUGAUGUUGUCUUCAAGAGUAAUUGUUCGCCGCUCUCGAAUACGAAGACGAAGAAAACAUUUUUAAGAAAAUGAUGAAUAAAAUCGUGUUAAAUUGACGCAUUAAACUCAACACUGUUUGAUAUACAAUGGUAAAAUGUAAAAUAUUUUAAAAUAAUUUUGUAUGUGAUGUUAAAAUAAUUGUGAUGAUCAUCAUGUUUGGAUCGUUGCUUUGUCAUUUGUAAUGAUUACAAUGUAUUAACUCACUUAUUAUAAAGUCGAGGGAAUGUAAUAUGUAUUGGCUAAAAAUUAAUAAACGUAUUUGUCAUA